CAUGGAUAACAUAAACAAGCUCCGUUGGAAAUUGGUCAUGAUACUAUUUGGCUUCAAUUUUUAAAAUAGAGUAAUAAAGUACUAACACCACACAUAACUGUUUUAUCAAGGUUUUUAUUAUAAAAAGUGUUAAAAUUAGAAAAUGUUAGUAUUGUCGCCUAUGGCAGAAUAAAUAGUACCGUUUUCCCUUGAAACGGGUGCAUGUCGUAUAAA
rnacentral:lncRNA from 1 species